CCUACGGGAGGCAGCAGUGGGGAAUAUUGCACAAUGGGGGAAACUCUGAUGCAGCAACGCCGCGUGAGUGAAGAAGUAUUUCGGUAUGUAAAGCUCUAUCAGCAGGGAAGAAGAUGACGGUAACUGAUUAAGAAUCCCCGGAUAACUACGUGCCAGCAGCCGCGGUAAUACGUAGGGGGAAAGCGUGAGCCGGAGUUACUGGGUGUAAAGGGAGCGCAGGCGGCAGUGCAAGUCUGGAGUGAAAGCCCGGGGCCCAACCCCGGAACUGCGCUGGAAACUGUGCGGCUAGAGUGCUGGAGGGGAGAGCGGAAUUCCGAGUGUAGCGGUGAAAUGCGUAGAUAUAAGGAGGAACACCAGUGGCGAAGGCGGCUUGCUGGACAGUAACUGACGUUGAGGCUCGAAAGCGUGGGGAGCAAACAGGAUUAGAUACCCUUGUAGUC
rnacentral:rRNA from 1 species